CCCAAAACCACCCACAAUCCCCCACUCCUAAUCAACCUCCCCCACUAUUCCCCCCACACACUACCACAACUACAUACUACUAUAUAAAGCACACAAACAUACUACACUACAAAAAAAGACAUAUCAUAUAUACACACACACGGAAAACAAGAAAAGAAACACUACACUACUACUACACUAUCCUACAUAACUACAACUACAUACAGACUACACAAAAUACACAUACACGGCUGAAACAAGAAAAAGAAAAACCACUACAUAUUAUAUAUACUAC
rnacentral:lncRNA from 1 species